rnacentral:rRNA from 1 species
UACAGAGGAUGCAAGCGUUAUCCGGAAUGAUUGGGCGUAAAGCGUCUGUAGGUGGCUUUUUAAGUCCGCCGUCAAAUCCCAGGGCUCAACUCUGGACAGGCGGUGGAAACUACCAAGCUGGAGUACGGUAGGGGCAGAGGGAAUUUCCGGUGGAGCGGUGAAAUGCGUAGAGAUCGGAAGAACACCGGUGGCGAAGGCGGCCUGCUGGGCAGUAGCUGACACUGAGGCGCGACAGCGUGGGGAGCAAACAGG